GUUGGGUACAGUGGUGCAUGUCUGUAAUCCCAGCAGCUCAGGAGGCUGAGACAGGAGGAUAGGGAAUUUGAGGCCUGCCUCAGCAAAUUAACAAGGCCCUAAGCAAUUUAAUGAGACCAGUCUCAAAAUUUCCAUGAACUUGUCUCUA
rnacentral:sRNA from 1 species